rnacentral:rRNA from 1 species
CCCUUAGAUGUUCUGGGCCGCACGCGCGAUACAAUGGCAAACUCAGCGAGUCUCCUUUACCGACAGGUAUAGGAAAUCUUUUCAGUGUUUGCCGUGAUGGGGCUAGACCCUUGUAAUUAUUGGUCUCCAACGAGGAAUUCCUAGUAAACGCAGGUCAUUAACCUGCAUUGAUUACGUCCCUGCCCUUUGUACACACCGCCCGUCGCACCUACCGAUUGAAUGGUCCGGUGAAGUCUCCGGACUGAGUACUUUUAGUACUUGGGAAGUUGACUAAACCUUACUAUUUAGAGGAAGGUGAAGUCGUAACA